UGUUAGCCUCAUUUAGAGUUGAAAGAACUCAGAUAUGGAGAGGAUAAGUAAUGAGCCCAGGGCCACAGAACUGGUUGAUCCUCCUGCUUAUAGUUCUCAUAUUCCUCCUCCCAUGGCUGACUCCUAUUCUUCUUGAAGACCCAGUUAAAGAAAUCCACACCCGGGUAUCUACUAAAAAUAUACAAAAAUUAGCCGGGUGUGGUGGCCUGCGCCUAUAGUCCCAGCUACCCCGGAGGCUGAGGCAGGAGAAUGGCGA
rnacentral:lncRNA from 10 species